rnacentral:rRNA from 1 species
GAUGAACGCUGGCGGCGUGCUUAACACAUGCAAGUCGAACGGAAAGGCCCAAGCUUGCUUGGGUACUCGAGUGGCGAACGGGUGAGUAACACGUGGGUGAUCUGCCCUGCACUUCGGGAUAAGCCUGGGAACUGGGUCUAAUACCGGAUAGGACCACUUCUUGGAUGUUGUGGUGGAAAGUUUUUUCGGUGUGGGAUGAGCUCGCGGCCUAUCAGCUUGUUGGUGGGGUAAUGGCCUACCAAGGCGUCGACGGGUAGCCGGCCUGAGAGGGUGUACGGCCACAUUGGGACUGAGAUACGGCCCAGACUCCUACGGGAGGCAGCAGUGGGGAAUAUUGCACAAUGGGCGCAAGCCUGAUGCAGCGACGCCGCGUGGGGGAUGACGGCCUUCGGGCUGUAAACUCCUUUCGCUAGGGACGAAGCGUUUUGUGACGGUACCUGGAGAAGAAGCACCGGCUAACUACGUG